rnacentral:lncRNA from 1 species
UAGAAGUCAGGUCGGAUUAAGCCAUAGUACGGAAAAAACUAUGCUACCUGUGAGCCCCGUCCAAGGACGUUAAAAGAAGUCAGGCCAUCAUAAAUGCCAUAGCUUGAGUAAACUGUGCUGCCUGUAGCUCCACCUGAGAAGGUGUAAAAAAUCUGGGAGGCCACAAACCAUGGAAGCUGUACGCAUGGCGUAGUGGACUAGCGGUUAGAGGAGACCCCUCC